rnacentral:sRNA from 1 species
GGAUGUGAGGGUGAUCUAGCUGCCACACACGUCAUCGUCACUGAUCUCCAAGCUAGGUGUUGUCCUUGCUUACUGCUCCACUCGCGUCCCUCCUAUAGCCGAACGCUCCAUUACAGAGGGCGACCUUCCCUGAUGGAACCUCCGAACCAGCUCUCCAGGUCCCAACAACAAGAAGACACGCUUGGUGCGGGCAAGGAGCACGAGGCUUCUGGAGCCAGGGUCUUUGCUGAAGGCCUCGUUGAUUCC